GAUGACUUCAGUGCCUUUCUUAACUAAUCCUGUCACUGUAAAAUCCUACAGUCAUUCUUCCACACAUAAAGGGAAAACGGACUCACUAGGAGGACCUAGACUCUUUCAGCUUGAACUGUUAACCAAUGGUGGAAAUGCAAGAAUGCUGAAGUUGUGCCUUCAGAGCCAAUAGAGUGGAUUUGUGUGUCCCACAUGACUGUGUUUCCUCUGUCUUUCACAUGGGCAGUAUUUAGUUCAAUUCAGAACUGCAGAUAGUAUAGCGUGCAGAGCAGCAAUGGGAUGUCUGAGCACAAGUGGCUGACUUCCAGGCGACUUCAGGAAGCACAUUUGUACAUUUCUCCUGAAUUUAACUGGGAUUCUGCACCCUUGACACUCUCCGACCUUCCUUGUCUCUGCAGAAGGAGACAGCGACCUGCACAGCACAACAAAACUACAAAUCACCACAGAGCUGCAGACCAGCAAUGAAGGGAACUGGGCAAUUUGACCAACAUCCUCUGUGUCGGUUCCCCAGAAGUCGAUGAAACAUGUUAUCGGGUCUCCAAGUUUGCAUUUUACAGACCACAAACCUCAGAGGAUCAUUGUGUGGAAGAAACACACUGGGCCAACUCAUCCCAUCCAUCUGACACAAAGCACAGCCCAUUUUGGUGUUCUUUCCAUUCUGAAGGAGUCUCAUAUCAGCACAACACCCAUAUCUUCAAUUUAGGUCAGGCCAUGAAGAGGAAGAAGAGGACUGAAGACUGAGGAUGAGAUGCUCUACUUCACACAGUUGCCCUCUGGAAGGACUUGCAAAGGCAGUCACUUAAAUUAAGUACAGGUCAUCAGACAAGAUAUCUAAUCUAUUCCUAAAACAGGCAGCUCUAGCAGUCCAAAUCCCUAUGGCCUUUGCAGCCACAUGAUGAACUAUUUCCUCAUGUACCUCUGUCAAUUCACGUUAGGUUCCAAUUUUUUUAAAGCGAUAUUUCAUGUACACCACGACCCUAUUGCUCAUAGCAAGGAAAGUGCUUUGGUUUAUUUAUGACCUACUAACCUUAAAUAAAAAAAAAAAAACUACAUCCAAUAUGAAUGUUCACAUAAGCUUGCAGAUCUGAAAAAAAAAUUUAAAAUAAACCUGGCAUUUGUAACAGCCAGCUAAGCCUGGUAAGGGAUUUUAAAAAAAUGAAAACCAGAUGAGAGAUGAUGACAGCAUAUUUACCCUGCAUAACCUGCACACAUCAGGAAUUAGGGCUGGAACCGAGGAAUACUUUUUGUACCUAGCUUCAGCCCAUUUCACAAGUUUCAGCCCAUUUCAGAGGCUAGAUAACUAAGGAAAUCCUGAGGUUUUUCCAGUAUAUGGGGUGGGAGGCAUUAAUAAUAACCUGUGAAAGUAAUUCCUUCUAAGAUGCAAUCCACCCAGCCACAAGCUCUAUGCAGCUUCUCUUCUUCCCCUACCCUGCAUCCCGAUUGCCAGAUAGCAGCCAGGCAGGACCCCAUAUUGAAAUAUGAAGUGACAGAUGGAAGCAGGGAAUAAGAGCAUAAGAAUAAGUACUGAAAGAAAUGACGUAAAAAAGCAAGCUCAUAAUAGGGUGGAUCUAAAACAUAAGCAACCCUAAACCAUAAAGUCAGUUCAUUUGGCUAGAACAAAGUUGAACAGAUGCAGAUGCACAAAAGACUGAGUUGGAGAGCCUUAUUCUCUCAUCACUCAUGCUGGUGUACAGAAGUCUUCUCAUAAUAUCCAUGGAAUUAAACCUUUGAAAAACCACUACAAAGAAAUGGAAAAAUAAAAAUAAACUUCAAAGCCAAACUAUUGGCAGCAAAUAUCCCAUACAGUUGUAUCAGGAAAGAAAGAUGUACUGCCACAUUUGAUUAGAAUUCAGAUAUAUUCCUAACCACAGUGGCCUUCCUAAAUGAAAUACAUCUAAACUACAUAAAAAAGAAAAUUAAUGGAUUCCAUUCUUGUCUAGUUCUCCAAUAGACUAUAUUAAUGACUUUGUCUUUCAGUAAUAUUAGAAAAAAAUAAUGUUGAGUUAAAUGAUGUAAUAAAUACCUCUACAUGCAGAGCAAUUAGUUGAAAGAAACAGUCAGAACAAAGUCCUUGUCAUGGUGUUUGUUUACAAAAUAGACACAGGUACCAUACCUAUGAGCUCCAGUCUUUUGGUGCGGGUUCCUUUUACAAAGUAGAAACAAACCCCCCAACAUUCAUAAAGACUUACAAAUAAUCAGAGAUUGAUGAGAGGGUAUAAAACAUCUUUUACCAAAAGAUAAGUAAACAAACAGCAAUUCAAAGAAGUCAAUGAAUCAGUCACACAAUUUCAGCACAGCAAGAGCAGACCUGCAAAAAAAGAAUUCUGACCAGCUGAGCAUCGAGAACACCUUCUGCAGAAGAACUCUGCUCCCAAAUGCAAAUAAGAAAGAAGUUUGGGAAACUGCCAGUUCCUUGCACAAAGACUGAAUUACGAGGGGCAGAGAAGGGUGUUGACAUUUGAGGAUGCGGUCAAGUCAAUGGAGUUCUGUUGUAGUGGUUGCUUCAGUGAACAUUCAACGCUGUCGGUGAGUUUGGAAUUAAAGUGAAAACCAUCGACCGUUGAUUGUACCCUCCAGCUAACCAUCCUCCUCCUUACUUCAUGCUUUCAGGCCUUAACACCGAAGAUAGCAACCUAACCAUCAUAUGAUGUUUCUCCCCCACCCUGCCAAGCUUUACAAAAAAGGUCACAAUCAACAUUCAUUGCUGUCGGUGGGUUUAACUUUGUGGACAAGCUCACUGAACAAUGAAUGCAACUGUGGCCCCACAUUUUACAGUUGCCGUUGAGAGGAACAGCAGCUCUGAAAGCAGUAGUGAGAAACAAACUUCUUAUAAGCUACAUUUUUCUGGUCAGAAAAACAGUUGGGAGUAUUCACUUUUUGCUUGCUUGUUUUUAAGUGUGUUUAACUUAGCUGACUAGAAAAAAAAAAACCCACUGCCUUUUUCUGGAAUAUUGUCCUUACAGGGUUGAGUAUCACUGAAACCAUAAAAACUCUUAUUGAGUAUGCGUGCAGAAAUAAAUAACUGUACAGGAAACUCUGUAUAUCCACUCCUAAGGACUCUGACAUAGAAGGAAAGAAUAUUUAAAUGCCAUUUUAACUAGGCAUUGUGGAAUACUUAAAAAGUUUUUUCUAUACUUGUCAUGACAAAUACAAAUGGGAGCAAAUGAGAUUUCAAAGUUAUGGAUCAAAUGUUUUAUCAAAUAAAUUAAUUAAUUUUACAUGAAAUUGUUUCUGAGCACAUAAAUAUUAUUAGACAACCCUUACUAUUGCAUCUGGCUUUUUUAGGCAUCUGAACGAUGACAGAGAAAUGUAUAUCCAGAAAUAAAAAUGUAAAAGUAGUUAAAUUGUAAAAUUACUGUAAACUGAGUACCUAUGUCACACUCUCAGUAUUGCAGAUACUAAUAAGAAAAUAAAAGUGUAAAUAAACUCA